GACAGAGGGGGCAAGCGUUGCUCGGAAUUACUGGGCGUAAAGGGCGCGUAGGCGGGAUGGCAAGUCGGUCGUGAAAUGCCUCGGCUCAACUGAGGAUCGUCGAUCGAUACUGCCGUUCUUGAGGAUUGCAGAGGAGACUGGAAUUCCCGGUGUAGCGGUGAAAUGUGUAGAGAUCGGGAGGAACACCGGUGGCGAAGGCGGGUCUCUGGGCAGUAACUGACGCUGAGGAGCGAAAGCGUGGGGAGCGAACAGG
rnacentral:rRNA from 1 species